rnacentral:misc_RNA from 1 species
GAUGAAGAACGCAGCGAAAUGCGAUAAGUAAUGUGAAUUGCAGAAUUCAGUGAAUCAUCGAAUCUUUGAACGCACCUUGCGCUCUUUGGUAUUCCGAAGAGCAUGCCUGUUUGAGUGUCAUUAAAUUCUCAACUUCAUCAGUUUGUUAAAGACUCGAUUGAAGCUUGGAUGUGGAGGUGUUGCAGGUCCGUCACCGGUCUGCUCCUCUGAAAUGUAUUAGCGGGUUAAGCUACCUGUCUAUUGGUGUGAUAAUUAUCUACAUCGUGGACUAGGAUUGGCGAAAUAAUUAACCCAGCUUCUAAUCGUCCACGAGGACAAUUACUUGACAAACUUGACCUCAAAUCAGGUAAGACUACCCGCUGAACUUAAGCAUAUCAAUAAGCGGAGGA